rnacentral:rRNA from 1 species
CUCUCCAAGGAGGUCCACGUUGAAGUGGCGUCGCUGGAGACGUCGCAUGCGAUCUGGACCGCCCUGUCCAACAUGUUCGCGGCGGUCUCGCUUUCUCGAGUCAGCAACCUGCGUGCUGCCCUCACCAACACCCAGAAGGGCACGCAAUCUGCAUCAACCUACUUCGGCUACAUGCGGUCUCUCCCCGACGAGAUCGCGGCGGCAGGAAAACUGAUCGGGGAGUCGGAGCUCAUCUCCUUCAUUGUAUCCGGCCUUGACAUGGAAUAUCAGCCGCUCAUCUCAGAGCUGGACGUCCGCACCGAGCCCAUAACGGUCAACCAUCUCUUCUCCCUUGUGGCCAACUUCGAUCAGAAGGUCAAGUUGUACCACGGUAAUGGCAACGGUGGCUUCAAAUCCUCGGCAAACGCCGCUUCCCGCGGUCGCCAGGGAGGCAGAGGGGGCUACCGCAAUCAAUGA